rnacentral:rRNA from 1 species
CCUAGUUGAUCCUCCCAGUAUUCAUAUGCUUGUCUCAAAGAUUAAGCCAUGCAUGUGUAAGUAUGAACAAAUUCAGGCUGUGAAACUACGAUUGGCUUAUUAAAUCAGUUAUAAUUUGUUUGAUGGUAUCUACUACUCGAAUAACCAUAGUAAUUCUAGAUCUAAUACGUGCAAUAAACCCCGACUUCUGGAAGAGAUGUAUUUAUUAGAUAAAAGGUCGAUGCGGGCUCUGCCCGUUGCUGCGAUGAUUCAUGAUAACUCGACGGAUCGCACAGCCAUCGUGCCGGCAACGCAUCAUUCAAAUUUCUGCCCUAUUAACUUUUGAUGGUAGGAUAGUGGCCUACCAUGGUGGUGACGGGUGAUGGAGAAUUAGGGUUCGAUUAUGGAGAGGGAGCCUGAGAAAUGACUACCACAUCUAAGGAAGGCAGCAGGUGCGUAAAUUACCCAAUCCUGACACGGGGAGGUAGUGAUAAUAAAUAACAAUACCGGGCUCAAUGAGUCUGGUAAUUGGAAUGAGUACAAUCUAAAUCCCUUAACGAGGAUCCAUUGGAGGGCGAGUCUGGUGCCAGUAGCCACGGUAAUUCCAGCUCCAAUAGCAUAUAUUUAAGUUGUUGCAUUUAAAAAGCUCGUAGUUGGACUUUGGGAUGGGUCGGCCGGUUCGCCUAUGGUAUGCACCGAUCGUCUCGUCCCUUCUGUCGGCGAUGCGCUCCUGGCCUUAACUAGCCGGGUCGUGCCUCCGGCGCUGUUACUUUGAAGAAAUUAGAGUGCUCAAAGCAAGCCUACGCUCUGCAUACAUUAGCAUGGGAUAACAUUAUAGGAUUUCGGUCCUAUUAUGUUGGCCUUCGGGAUCGGAUUAAUGAUCAACAGGGACAGUCGGGGGCAUUCGUAUUUCAUAGUCAGAGGUGAAAUUCUUGGAUUUAAGAAAGACGAACAGCUGCAAAAGCGUUUGCCACGGAUGGUUUCAUUAAUCAAGAACGAAAGUUGGGGGAUCGAAGGCGAUCAGAUACCGUCCUAGUCUCAACCAUAAAUGAUGUCGACCAGGGAUCAGCGGAUGUUGCUUUUAGGAAUCCACCGGCACCUUAUGAGAAAUCAAAGUUUUUGGGUUCCGGGGGGAGUAUGGUCGCAAGGCUGAAACUUAAAGGAAUUGACGGAAGGGCACCACCAGGAGUGGAGCCUGCGGCUUAAUUUGACUCAACACGGGGAAACUUACCAGGUCCAGACAUAGUAAGGAUUGACAGACUGAGAGCUCUUUCUUNGAAGGGCACCACCAGGAGUGGAGCCUGCGGGUUAAUUUGACUCAACACGGGGAAACUUACCAGGUCUAGACAUAGUAAGGACUGACAGACUGAGAGCUCUUUCUUUAUUCUAUGAGUGGUGGUGCAUGACAGUUCUUAGUCGGUGGAGCCAAUUGUCUGGUUAAUUCCGUUAACGAACGAGACUUCAUCCUGCUAACUAGCUAUCCGGAGGUAUCCCUUCGCAGCCAGCUUCUUAGAGGGACUACGACCUUUUAGGCCAUGGAAGUUUGAGGCAAUAACAGGUCUAUGAUGCCCUUAUAUGUUCUGGGUCGCACGCGCACUACACUGAUGUAUUCAACGAGUUUCUAGACUUGGCUAACAGGCUCUGGUAAUCUUUGAAAUUUCAUCGUGAUGGGGAUAGAUCAUUGAAAUUGUUGGUCUUCAACGAGGAAUUCCUAGUAAGUGUGAGUCAUCAGCUCGCGUUGACUACGUCCCUGCCAUUUGUACACACCGCCCGUCGCUCCUACCAAUUGAAUGAUCCGGUGAAAUGUCCAUUGAACCUUAUCAUUUACAUGAAGGAGAAGUUGUAACAAGGUUUCCAUAGGUGAACCUGCAGAAGGAUCAUUG